rnacentral:rRNA from 1 species
GUGGGGAAUAUUGCACAAUGGGGGAAACCCUGAUGCAGCGACGCCGCGUGGAGGAAGAAGGUCUUCGGAUUGUAAACUCCUGUUGUUGAGGAAGAUAAUGACGGUACUCAACAAGGAAGUGACGGCUAACUACGUGCCAGCAGCCGCGGUAAAACGUAGGUCACAAGCGUUGUCCGGAAUUACUGGGUGUAAAGGGAGCGCAGGCGGGAAGACAAGUUGGAAGUGAAAUCCAUGGGCUCAACCCAUGAACUGCUUUCAAAACUGUUUUUCUUGAGUAGUGCAGAGGUAGGCGGAAUUCCCGGUGUAGCGGUGGAAUGCGUAGAUAUCGGGAGGAACACCAGUGGCGAAGGCGGCCUACUGGGCACCAACUGACGCUGAGGCUCGAAAGUGUGGGUAGCAAACAGG